UUCAUAUACAAUUCCAGGGCCUGAAUACUCUUAGCUUCAAAAGGACAUUCCAAAUAAAUGAUGGGCUAGAUAACUUGAGUGCUUGAAGGGGAGAGUUGCCAAAUUAAGGGUUGUCAAUUCAGUUGUUCAUCUUGUUUCUGUAUUGUGAAGUGCUACUAUAAGGUAUUGUUUUGUUGUUUAUGCAAGGUAGAGUGCAACCCGAAGACUUGUUGCAUGAUCCAGAGAUCGAAAAGACUGCAAGAGCCAAUCGAAAAGUUGUCCUAUAUAUUAGCUCGAUCAGAUGAACCUAGUUCAAGAACACACUACACGAAUCACAUGUUAUGAUUUAGCCGGUGUUUGGUACAGCGGUGGUGUGAAUGCAGCCGUGCUUUUUGUGUGA
rnacentral:lncRNA from 1 species